UACGUAGGGCGCAAGCGUUAUCCGGAAUUAUUGGGCGUAAAGAGCUCGUAGGCGGUUUGUCGCGUCUGCCGUGAAAGUCCGGGGCUCAACUCCGGAUCUGCGGUGGGUACGGGCAGACUAGAGUGAUGUAGGGGAGACUGGAAUUCCUGGUGUAGCGGUGAAAUGCGCAGAUAUCAGGAGGAACACCGGUAGCGAAGGCGGGACUCUGGGCCGAUGACUGACGCUGAGGAGCGAAAGCGUGGGGAGCAAACAGG
rnacentral:rRNA from 1 species